rnacentral:rRNA from 1 species
GCUCACCAAGCCGACGAUGCCUACCGGGUGUGAGAGCAUGACCCGGCACACUGGAACUGAGACACUGUCCAGACACCUACGGGUGGCUGCAGUCGAGAAUCUUCGGCAAUGGGCGAAAGCCUGACCGAGCGACGCCGCGUGAGGGAAGAAGGCCUUCGGGUUGUAAACCUCUUUCGUAGAGGAGGAAGGGGCCGUGCAGAGCGGUCUUUGACCUAUUCUAGGAAGAAGCUUGGGCUAAGUUCGUGCCAGCAGCCGCGGUAAGACGAACCAAGCGAACGUUAUUCGGAAUUACUGGGCUUAAAGCGCGUGUAGGCGGAUGGCCACGUCAGUCGUUGAAAUCCCCCGGCUCAACCGGGGAACAGGCGCUGAUACGAGUUGUCUUGAGGUGGGUAGGGGAGACUGGAACUUCCGGUGGAGCGGUGAAAUGCGUUGAGAUCGGAAGGAACGCCCGCGGCGAAAGCGAGUCUCUGGACCCAUUCUGACGCUGAGACGCGAAAGCCAGGGGAGCAAACGGGAUUAGAUACCCCGGUAGUCCUGGCUGUAAACAUUGGGCACUGGGUAGUGGAACCGCCGAUGGUUUCACUGCCGCAGGGAAACCGUGAAGUGCCCCGCCUGGGGAGUAUGGUCGCAAGGCUGAAACUCAAAGGAAUUGACGGGGGCUCACACAAGCAGUGAGUAUGUGGCUUAAUUCGAGGCUACGCGAAGAACCUCACCUAGGCUUGACAUGCAGGAAUUAGCCGGCGGAAACGUCGGUGACGCCCGCAAGGUGGAAUCUGCACAGGCGCUGCAUGGCUGUCGUCAGCU